AUGUUGGGUGGUCAAGAAGUUGCUAUCAAGAGGCUAAGUAAGGAUUCUCAACAAGGAACAGAGGAGUUUAAGAAUGAAGUUAUUCUAAUUGCCAAAUUACAGCAUAGAAACUUGGUACGACUUCUUGGGUGUUGUGGGGAGCGGGAUGAAAAGUUGCUGAUUUAUGAGUAUCUACCUAACAAGAGCCUAGAUGCUACCCUUUUUGAUGAUUCAAGUAAAAUGUUGUUGGAUUGGGCAACACGAUUUAAUAUCAUUAAAGGGGUCGCUAGGGGACUUCUCUACCUCCACUAG
rnacentral:rRNA from 1 species